rnacentral:tRNA from 1 species
ACCUGGCUGGCUCAGUCGGUGGAGCAUGUGACUCUUGAUCUCAGGGUUGUGAGUUCAAGCCCUACAUUGGGUA